rnacentral:rRNA from 1 species
UACGGGGGGGGCAAGCGUUGUUCGGAAUUACUGGGCGUAAAGGGCGCGUAGGCGGUCUACUAAGUUGGAUGUGAAAACUCUGGGCUUAACCCAGAGCCUGCAUUCAAAACUGAUAGGCUGGAGUUCUGGAGGGGAUAGCGGAAUUCCUGGUGUAGCGGUGAAAUGCGUAGAUAUCAGGAGGAACACCGGUGGCGAAGGCGGCUAUCUGGACAGAAACUGACGCUCAUGCACGAAAGCGUGGGGAGCAAACAGG